rnacentral:rRNA from 1 species
GAGUUCUGGGCCGCACGCGCGCUACACUGACAGAGCCAGCGAGUACAUCACCUUGGCCGAAAGGUUUGGGUAAUCUUGUUAAACUCUGUCGUGCUGGGGAUAGAGCAUUGCAAUUAUUGCUCUUCAACGAGGAAUGCCUAGUAAGCGCAAGUCAUCAGCUUGCGUUGAUUACGUCCCUGCCCUUUGUACACACCGCCCGUCGCUACUACCGAUUGAAUGGCUCAGUGAGGCCUUGGGACUGGCUCAGAGAGGUCGGCAACGACCACUCAGAGCCGGAAACUUGGUCAAACUUGGUCAUUUAGAGGAAGUAAAAGUCGUAACAAGGUUUUCGUAGGUGAACCUGCGAAAGGAUCAUUAACGAGUUAGGGUCCUCGUGGCCCGACCUCCCAACCCUUUGUCUAUUGAACUUUUUGUUGCUUCGGCGGGCCCGUCCUCUGAUGGACCGCCGGAGGACCACCGCAAGGGGUCCUCUGGCCCGCGCCCGCCGAUGGCCUUUAAUUCAAAAUCUUUGCAAAUCAUGUCCUUUAUCUGAGUACACGUUUUAAAAAGCAAAAAACUUUCAACAACGGAUCUCUUGGUUCUGGCAUCGAUGAAGAACGCAGCGAAAUGCGAUAAGUAAUGCGAAUUGCAGAAUUCCAGUGAGUCAUCGAAUCUUUGAACGCACAUUGCGCCCUUUGGUAUUCCGAAGGGCAUGCCUGUUCGAGCGUCAUUAUCACCCCUCAAGCCCCUCUGGGUUUGGCGUUGGAUGGCCUGGUUGCCUCACGGCGACCCCUCCUAAAGACAAUGACGCGGCCUCGUGGGAACCCCGGUACACUGAACUUCUUCAUUGAACACGUAUCGGAACAAGGGUGCCCGGGGCCCGGUCCCCCCCCUUUUC